GACGAACGCUGGCGGCGUGCUUAACACAUGCAAGUCGAACGGAAAGGCCCUGCUUGCAGGGUACUCGAGUGGCGAACGGGUGAGUAACACGUGGGUGAUCUGCCCUGCACUUCGGGAUAAGCCUGGGAAACUGGGUCUAAUACCGGAUAGGAGCCAUUUUUAGUGUGAUGGUUGGAAAGUUUUUUCGGUGUAGGAUGAGCUCGCGGCCUAUCAGCUUGUUGGUGGGGUAAUGGCCUACCAAGGCGGCGACGGGUAGCCGGCCUGAGAGGGUGGACGGCCACAUUGGGACUGAGAUACGGCCCAGACUCCUACGGGGGGCAGCAGUGGGGAAUAUUGCACAAUGGGCGCAAGCCGGAUGCAGCGACGCCGCGUGGGGGAUGACGGCCUUCGGGUUGUAAACUCCUUUCGCUAGGGACGAAGCUUUUUGUGACGGUACCUAGAUAAGAAGCACCGGCUAACUACGUG
rnacentral:rRNA from 1 species